rnacentral:rRNA from 1 species
UACGUAGGGUGCGAGCGUUAAUCGGAAUUACUGGGCGUAAAGCGUGCGCAGGCGGCGCGUUAAGACAGGUGUGAAAAGCCCCCGAGCUUAACUUGGGAAUUGCGCUUGUGACUGGCGUGCUGGAGUGUGGCAGAGGGGAGGUGGAAUUUCCCCAGUGUAGAGGUGAAAAUUCUAGAUAUUUGGGGAAAGAACACCGGUGGCGAA